GUAAAUGCGUUUGAGAAAAAAGCAGUAGGCAAUUAAUUUUUUUAGAGACUCUGUGGUUGGUGUGAACAGAGAAAUUGGUUGUACGAAUUCAUUUUUCGAGCAGAAAAUGGGAGUUAAUAUUAACAAAAAUUUUCCGGUAGUCACCGUUAAUGAUUCUUAAGUGUGUCAUUUUUUAGUGACAAAUUAGGGUGGUACCGCGAAGCUUCGUCCCUGGA
rnacentral:ncRNA from 1 species